GACGAACCGUGCUAACGUUGUUCGGAAUCACUGGGCUUAAAGGGCGCGUAGGCGGGCCGGCAAGUCAGGGGUGAAAGCCCGCGGCUCAACCGCGGAAGCGCCUUUGAUACUGCCGGCCUCGAGGGGGGUAGGGGCGUGCGGAACUUCCGGUGGAGCGGUGAAAUGCGUAGAUAUCGGAAGGAACACCGGUGGCGAAAGCGGCGCGCUGGACCCCUUCUGACGCUGAGGCGCGAAAGCCAGGGGAGCAAACGGG
rnacentral:rRNA from 1 species